GAUACUCUGGAGAACUGUGAAGAGAAGCAGCAAAUCCUCCCACAUUCCCUGCUGGAGACCUUCCCAGGGCACGUUCAGUGUACCAGGGAGGUUGGAGCAAUUUGAAGGACUGUGCUACUAUGGACAGUUGUUGAUUGAUCCAGGGAUUCUUCUGGCACUCCAGACAUUUAAAACCAUCCCCACAAGUCGAAUGAAUGCGCUGGCAGAUGCAGUCUUUACAGAAAUUGUGACUACAUCCUGUGGAUGUGGCACAGGUGAAGAAAUCUAGACAGAACAUGCCACUUCUUCUGAAAUGCUUGAGGUAAGCUAUGAGGCCAUGAUGCUUUCUGGUGCCUCUGAUUUGGGUCUUUCCUUGUGUUUGGAGCUCCUCUCGAUUUCCCUGGAGUUUUCUUCUCAGCUCUAGUUCCUGAUCUCUGGGCUGAGGAAGUGUGAUUUGGGAGGCAAUGUGGCGCCAUGGAAAUGGUGCUGGAUUUGAAUCCUGACUUCAUCACUUAUUUCCUAUGGGACCUUGGCAAAUCACUUAAACUUCUCUAGUCUUCAGUUUCCUCACCUGCAAAAUGCAGGGAUAGGACCAAAUGCUUUCCAUGGUCUACACC
rnacentral:lncRNA from 1 species